CAGAAAAUGAAGAGGAAAGGCAGAAGUGCUGUUGGAAAGCAGCAGGACUCUUGUGAUGUGUGGCUGGAUCCUUCAGCACUCAAAAGACGCAAAGUGGUGAAUGUUGCCACUAAGUCAGCCUUAACUCUCCUGGUCCGGGACUCUCAUCCUUCUGCAAUAAUUGGAGCUCAUCCAUGCAAUAAACAAACCACUAUUUCUACUUUCUUCACUGCUCAGAAAGCAGGGGAAAAGACCACAGACCCAAACAAGCAGUUAACGACCUCCGCUUCAAACGACGACGUUGUCAAUCUAAAAGACUCUGAAUUGCUUAGAGGGAAAAGGAUCAGGGCCGCAGCUUCUGCCCUUCAACCAUCAAGCCUGCAAGACUGCCAAAGCCAACCUGCAGAGGCCAUGAAGGCUUCAGGUCCUUUCCUUUGCAAUUCUCUUUCCGCUCGAGCCCAGAGCCACCCCAGCAGCUUCCCUGUUGCUUGGGAGGAAGACGCCGUAACAGAAGGGGAGGCUUUCCUAACUACAGAUCUCAUGCGGCGCCUGGAAGAAAAGGGGGGCCUUCAGCAGCAGGUGGCUCCGGGGUCCCCCCUGAAAGAGAAAAACGGUGGCUGGCAAAGAGGAGAGAGCCCCACUUUGUUUUCUCAGAGAAGCCCAAGUUUUAAAAUAAUUCCCAACCGAAGAAUGGGUGCAGGGAAACGACGCAGACUCCUUUCCUCUUCGGCGGGCUCUACUUUUGCGGACAACUCUGACUCUGAAAAUGUGGAUCCUGAACUGGAAGCAAACCUACCAGAAGCAGCACACACGAGAGGGUUCAAUCAAACUGGACUCUGCAGAAAAUACACGGACGCCACUAGCUGUGAGACCAGCUCCCCAGCUUCAACUCAGCGGCUGUUCACACAGGACUCUGAGGGCUGCAGAGUCAUUCUGCACCACUUUGGAGGAGAAGGAAGCAAAGCGUCCUUGGCAAAGGAGCUCUGGUGGGGCAAAGGGACCCCUGUAAGAAGCUCCUUCAAUAAUAAGAGCGGCUUUAGGGAUGGUUGGGCUGGAGACAGAAGCCCCCCUGGGUCUCUGGGCAGGAGCGUUCCUCCUCCGACAGAACGUAGGGAAAAGUCGUGUUAUGACUUGCUAUUCACAGAGGAUUCAGAAGGCAAUAAAGUCAUUAAACACUAAGUCGUAAUUGCUCUGUGAGAUAGCGGGUGCUCGGUGCCUCCUUACAAAACAAACCUGGCUUAAAGGGCCCCUUUGUAUAUUGCCUGUGGCUGUGUGUCGCAUACCUAACCUGUUUUGUUCAACAUGCUUCCUUCGGCGUGGGAGCUAAUAAAAGAAACCGAGGAAUGCA
rnacentral:lncRNA from 1 species